CCCCCCUGGCAAUGGGCUAAGAGACACCCUGUUGGUGGUCUUAUAUCAGCCAGAGACAGAGCAGAUGGUAGUCCUCUUUCAUCCUAGCUUGAUGCCUGGCUUGGUGGCCAAAGCUGUCUUAUGCCUAGGACUCAUAA